rnacentral:rRNA from 1 species
GACGAACGCUGGCGGCGUGCCUAACACAUGCAAGUCGAGCGGGGUUGAAGCGAGAGGUAACUCGAGCUUCUACCUAGCGGCGGACGGGUGAGUAACGCGUGGGCAACCUGCCUCAAGGUUUGGGAUAACAGCCCGAAAGGGCUGCUAAUACCGGAUAUGCCUAUGGCCUCGCAUGGGGCUAUGAGCAAAGGGGAAACCCGCCUUGAGAUGGGCCCGCGUCCCAUCAGCUAGUUGGUGAGGUAACAGCUCACCAAGGCGACGACGGGUAGCCGGCCUGAGAGGGUGACCGGCCACACUGGGACUGAGACACGGCCCAGACUCCUACGGGGGGCAGCAGUGGGGGAUCUUGCACAAUGGGCGAAAGCCUGAUGCAGCGACGCCGCGUGAGCGAAGAAGGCCUCGGGUUGUAAGUUCUAGUCUGGAGGGACGAACAAAAUAGACGGUACCUACCGGUACGGAAGGCCACGGCUAACUACGUACGCCACGCAGCCGCGGUAAACUCGUCUCGUA